UACGAACUGUGCGAACGUUAUUCGGAAUCACUGGGCUUACAGGGUGCGUAGGCGGCUAUUCAGGUCAUGUGUGAAAGCCCCCGGCUCAACCGGGGAACUGCGCUUGAAACCGAGUGGCUCGAGUCAGCUAGAGGUACACGGAACUUCCAGUGGAGCGGUGAAAUGUGUUGAUAUUGGAAGGAACACCGGAGGCGAAAGCGGCACACUGGAUCUCAACUGACGCUGAGGCACGAAAGCCAGGGGAGCGAACGGG
rnacentral:rRNA from 1 species